UAAAAAAAGGUAAGCUACUAAGAGCGAAUGGUGGAUGCCUUGACUGGUAAAGGCGAUGAAGGACGUACUAGACUGCGAUAAGCUACGGGGAGCUGUCAAGAAGCUUUGAUCCGUAGAUUUCCGAAUGGGGCAACCCAAUGUAUAGAGAUAUACAUUACCUAUAUAGGAGCGAACGAGGGGAAUUGAAACAUCUUAGUACCCUCAGGAAAAGAAAUCAAUAGAGAUUGCGUCAGUAGCGGCGAGCGAAAGCGCAAGAGGGCAAACCCAGUGCUUGCACUGGGGGUUGUAGGACUGCAAUGUGCAAGAGGUAAGUUUAGCAGAACAUUCUGGAAAGUAUAACCAUAGAGGGUGAUAGUCCCGUAUGCGAAAAACAAACCUUAGCUAGCAGUAUCCUGAGUAGGGCGGGACACGAGGAAUCCUGUCUGAAUCCGGGUCGACCACGAUCCAACCCUAAAUACUAAUACCAGAUCGAUAGUGCACAAGUACCGUGAGGGAAAGGUGAAAAGAACUGAGGUGAUCAGAGUGAAAUAGAACCUGAAACCAUUUGCUUACAAUCAUUCAGAGCCCUAUGUAGCAAUACAGGGUGAUGGACUGCCUUUUGCAUAAUGAGCCUGCGAGUUGUGGUGUCUGGCAAGGUUAAGCAAACGCGAAGCCGUAGCGAAAGCGAGUCUGAAUAGGGCGCUUAGUCAGAUGCUGCAGACCCGAAACGAAGUGAUCUAUCCAUGAGCAAGUUGAAGCUAGUGUAAGAACUAGUGGAGGACUGAACCCAUAGGCGUUGAAAAGCCCCGGGAUGACUUGUGGAUAGGGGUGAAAGGCCAAUCAAACUUCGUGAUAGCUGGUUCUCUCCGAAAUAUAUUUAGGUAUAGCGUUGUGUCGUAAUAUAAGGGGGUAGAGCACUGAAUGGGCUAGGGCAUACACCAAUGUACCAAACCCUAUCAAACUCCGAAUACCUUAUAUGUAAUCACAGCAGUCAGGCGGCGAGUGAUAAAAUCCGUCGUCAAGAGGGAAACAACCCAGACUACCAGCUAAGGUCCCUAAAUCUUACUUAAGUGGAAAACGAUGUGAAGUUACUUAAACAACCAGGAGGUUGGCUUAGAAGCAGCCAUCCUUUAAAGAAAGCGUAAUAGCUCACUGGUCUAGUGAUUUUGCGCGGAAAAUAUAACGGGGCUAAAGUAAGUACCGAAGCUGUAGACUUGCACACAACUUAGAUUAUUUAAGUUUAGAAUAUGAGAAACUAAGUUAUAUGUUUAGUUAUAUUUUUACUGAUUUUUAUAGAGUAAAGAUAGAAAUAAAACUUAGUAAAAUCAGUAAAAAUAUUCUUAGACUAAAGUUAAGUAGUUUAAGUUGUGUGCAAGUGGUAGGAGAGCGUUCUAUUUGCGUCGAAGGUAUACCGGUAAGGAGUGCUGGAGCGAAUAGAAGUGAGCAUGCAGGCAUGAGUAGCGAUAAUUAAUGUGAGAAUCAUUAACGCCGUAAACCCAAGGUUUCCUACGCGAUGCUCGUCAUCGUAGGGUUAGUCGGGUCCUAAGUCGAGUCCGAAAGGGGUAGACGAUGGCAAAUUGGUUAAUAUUCCAAUACCAACAUUAGUGUGCGAUGGAAGGACGCUUAGGGCUAAGGGGGCUAGCGGAUGGAAGUGCUAGUCUAAGGUCGUAGGAGGUUAUACAGGCAAAUCCGUAUAACAAUACUCCGAGAACUGAAAGGCUUUUUGAAGUCUUCGGAUGGAUAGAAGAACCCCUGAUGCCGUCGAGCCAAGAAAAGUUUCUAAGUUUAGCUAAUGUUGCCCGUACCGUAAACCGACACAGGUGGGUGGGAUGAGUAUUCUAAGGCGCGUGGAAGAACUCUCUUUAAGGAACUCUGCAAAAUAGCACCGUAUCUUCGGUAUAAGGUGUGGUUAGCCUUGUAUUAGGAUUUACUCCGAAAGCAAGGAAACUUACAACAAAGAGUCCCUCCCGACUGUUUACCAAAAACACAGCACUCUGCUAACUCGUAAGAGGAUGUAUAGGGUGUGACGCCUGCCCGGUGCUCGAAGGUUAAUUGAUGGGGUUAGCAUUAGCGAAGCUCUUGAUCGAAGCCCGAGUAAACGGCGGCCGUAACUAUAACGGUCCUAAGGUAGCGAAAUUCCUUGUCGGUUAAAUACCGACCUGCAUGAAUGGCGUAACGAGAUGGGAGCUGUCUCAAAGAGGGAUCCAGUGAAAUUGUAGUGGAGGUGAAAAUUCCUCCUACCCGCGGCAAGACGGAAAGACCCCGUGGACCUUUACUACAGCUUGACACUGCUACUUGGAUAAGAAUGUGCAGGAUAGGUGGGAGGCUUUGAGUAUAUGACGCCAGUUGUAUAUGAGCCAUUGUUGAGAUACCACUCUUUCUUAUUUGGGUAGCUAACCAGCUUGAGUUAUCCUCAAGUGGGACAAUGUCUGGUGGGUAGUUUGACUGGGGCGGUCGCCUCCCAAAUAAUAACGGAGGCUUACAAAGGUUGGCUCAGAACGGUUGGAAAUCGUUCGUAGAGUAUAAAGGUAUAAGCCAGCUUAACUGCAAGACAUACAAGUCAAGCAGAGACGAAAGUCGGUCUUAGUGAUCCGGUGGUUCUGUGUGGAAGGGCCAUCGCUCAAAGGAUAAAAGGUACCCCGGGGAUAACAGGCUGAUCUCCCCCAAGAGCUCACAUCGACGGGGAGGUUUGGCACCUCGAUGUCGGCUCAUCGCAUCCUGGGGCUGGAGCAGGUCCCAAGGGUAUGGCUGUUCGCCAUUUAAAGCGGUACGCGAGCUGGGUUCAGAACGUCGUGAGACAGUUCGGUCCCUAUCUGCCGUGGGCGUAAGAAGAUUGAAGAGAUUUGACCCUAGUACGAGAGGACCGGGUUGAACAAACCACUGGUGUAGCUGUUGUUCUGCCAAGAGCAUCGCAGCGUAGCUAAGUUUGGAAAGGAUAAACGCUGAAAGCAUCUAAGCGUGAAGCCAACUCUAAGAUGAAUCUUCUCUAAGCUCUCUAGAAGACUACUAGUUUGAUAGGCUGGGUGUGUAAUGGAUGAAAGUCCUUUAGCUGACCAGUACUAAUAGAGCGUUUGGCUUAUCUUUAAUAAAGCAU
rnacentral:rRNA from 1 species